UACGUAGGGUGCGAGCGUUAAUCGGAAUUACUGGGCGUAAAGCGUGCGCAGGCGGCGCGUUAAGACAGGUGUGAAAGCCCCGAGCUUAACUUGGGAAUUGCGCUUGUGACUGGCGUGCUGGAGUGUGGCAGAGGGAGGUGGAAUUCCACGUGUAGCAGUGGAAUGCGUAGAGAUGUGGAGGAACACCGAUGGCGAAGGCAGCCUCCUGGGCCAGCACUGACGCUCAUGCACGAAGCGUGGG
rnacentral:rRNA from 1 species